AUUAGAGGUUAGAUUACAAACCACCGUUACAAGCUGUUAAACUAUUUAUGAAGUUCUUCGAGUAAAAAAUAAUUGAAAAUUGGAUUCGGCGCAUCAAAUAUUAUUUCUGGUCGCUCUUGUUUUAUGGUACAACUGACUGACCAUGAACCGACCAUGUGGAGGCGUCUUCUUUACCACCACUACCACAAUCGUUUUUUUGAAAUAGAGCCCCUAGCAGGCCCGACGCGAAAACAAAAAUAAAUAAAAAUAUCUGUACAGUGGCCCGCUCUCCGGACCCGCGUUGAGGCUUCAACUUUGACUAAUAGUGAUGGAACACUUAUUGGUAAUCAAUUAUUUCAGG